CAAAAACGCCAACCAGACGUGACAAAAGUGUUAUAUAAACAUAAUAAGCCUCCCGACCAAGUCAACCGAAUUGAUAGUUUUCUGAUUUUUACUUUGAUCAAUCCGUUUAAUAUUCACCGGUAAUUUAUUGUACAAGAGAUACUGCCACCAAGCUGUACACAGAAGCAGCAACGGAUACACCCUGUACGUAAGGGACUGUUUUGCACAUCCACCAUCCAAGAACCCAAGCUGAAACAAAACAAGGAAAUGAAAAUUUUGGUUUAAGCUAAUACGAGAUUGCUGUUGGCUUAGUAAUAUCAGUUUGUCGGCGACCAAUGCUAUGGAGAUUAAAGUCGUAAGGAAUCCAAUCAAGUGGACUUGGAAGUUGCAGGCUUUGCUUGAAAUUCGAGUGAUCCAGUGUAUCUGUUUUACUUAAAGAUUAUGCCAAGAACGAACUCGGGACCCGUCCUGUGUUGAGCGACGACUUUAACGCCGAGCUAACGGGGCAUAUUAAAAUCGAUGUGUAAUUAUAUGUUUUCCGCUAAUAUGAAC